AACGAACGCUGGCGGCAUGCCUAACACAUGCAAGUCGAACGCCUGUAGCAAUACAGGAGUGGCGCACGGGUGAGUAACGCGUGGGAACCUGCCCUGGAGUGAGGGAUAACCGAGGGAAACCUCGGCUAAUACCGCAUACGCCCUUUGGUCGUGGAGAUCACUGGGGAAAGAUUUAUCGCUCUAGGAGGGGCCCGCGUCGGAUUAGCUAGUUGGUGAGGUAACGGCUCACCAAGGCGAUGAUCCGUAGCUGGUCUGAGAGGAUGAUCAGCC
rnacentral:rRNA from 1 species